CCAGGAGGUUUGCCUAGAAGCAGCCAUCCUUUAAAGAGUGCGUAAUAGCUCACUGAUCGAGCGCCCUUGCGCUGAAGAUGAACGGGGCUAAGCGAUCUGCCGAAGCUGUGGGAUGUCAAAAUGCAUCGGUAGGGGAGCGUUCCGCCUUAGAGGGAAGCAACCGCGAAAGCGGGGGGCGACGAAGCGGAAGCGAGAAUGUCGG
rfam:Hordeum vulgare subsp. vulgare, WGS project CAJW01000000 data, contig: morex_contig_1489916